CUGCACGUACGCCUUCAGUGCGCACUUGACCGGCGUGGGGGAUGUACGUGCGCUGCGCAGAUCGGUACUGUCAGCAUGGCCGUCACACCCAUACGAUGUUAAAUGAUACGAUGAAGAUUAAGAGGUGUGUAUGGGAGAACGCCGAUCCAAAGGUUACACCGACAGCAAGUCCUGGGUGACUCCCAACUCAAGCUCAAGCUCAAGCUCAAACAUUGGUACCCAGCUGGUGGAGCAGCCAUGGCAGUGGACAGACACAGGGGCAAGCCACCAGUGAGGGCAAUGGUGCUGGUGUCUAACGUGAUAAUAUUGUUAGUGUGCCUUGGGGUGGUGGAAAGAGUGGUGGCCCUGAAGGAGUGUGAAGUUGAUGUAGUAGUGGUGGCAGGAGGAGAGCAACACACCUUCACUGAGGACAGUUCAAAGGCUGAAAUAUCUCAAAUAACUCUGUUUGGGAAGGUGGAGGACGGCUUUGAGGGAUUCAGCAUCAAUGUGGAGGGAAUAGGUGGCAUUGUUUACAGUGCCUGGUUCCCUGCAGACCAUGAAUGCUUCCCUGACAAGGACACUUGGUACCAGCUCCUGACAUUUACACAGAUCAAGAAGAACAACGACACUACCAUUAUGUUUGGCUUUGAGACCAGACACUGCCGCAGGGAGUGUAAGAGCGACACAGCCCCACAAAGCCUGCAGCAGCAGAGUGUGGAGGUUUACGGGGCCUCUCACUGGAGUGAAGACAUCCCCCGGGGGGAUAACUGUACUGUUAACACACCGAAAGCCAUCCGUUUCCAUGGCAAGCAUUCCACCUGCAGCAAACGCCCCACCCCCAUGUCCACGAUGAACAUAAUAGUGAUAGUGAUGGUAGUGUUGGUGGUGGUACCACUGCUCAUCCUGCUGUCCGUGGUCAUUGUGAAGUUCAUCAAGAAGAGAGCAGCGCCUUCAGGUCCACACACUGAGGGUCACACUGCCAAGGAAAGAUCGGCCAUGUUCCCUCUACAUUUUUGGAGAAGGCAAUAGUACAGCCAGAGGUGCAGCUCUUCUGAGUCAGACCUGCCUCAUAGGUGAAGGAGACGUGGCCUGUACUGAAGGAAAUGAUAAAAUUGAAGAACUACACGCAUUAGAGGAAGGAGGA
rnacentral:misc_RNA from 1 species